rnacentral:sRNA from 1 species
UAUUUUCUUCCAUUUUGAAGACAUUCAAGAUUCAAAUUAUCAAUUUACAUAGGUGCAUUAAAAUAACUUGAAAGAAAUUUUCACUUUCGUAAUUGGAGUGUUUAUUACAUUCAAGCCUGAACGAUGCAGAAACUCCUGAUGUUUCUUGGGCUAUUCUCUAUGUUGAUACCCUGUGUUGCAGCAGAGAUGAGUGGUGAGACAAUAACCAUAAUAGUUGUGGUGUGUGUUGCUGUACUUGCAGUAAUUGUUUUUUGUAUCAUUAUCCGUAAAUACUGUGGCGUCAAGAUUGAGAAAUUGAAAAUGUGCUGCAACCAGUGUUAAAACAAAUAAACAAAGUUUGGAAUCCUACA